UACGAAGGGGGCUAGCGUUGUUCGGAAUUACUGGGCGUAAAGCGUGCGCAGGCGGCCAACUAAGUCAGACGUGAAAUCCCUCGGCUUAACCGGGGAACUGCGUCUGAUACUGGAUGGCUCGAGUUUGGGAGAGGGAUGCGGAAUUCCAGGUGUAGCGGUGAAAUGCGUAGAUAUCUGGAGGAACACCGGUGGCGAAGGCGGCAUCCUGGACCAACACUGACGCUGAUGAGCGAAAGCCAGGGGAGCAAACGGG
rnacentral:rRNA from 1 species